rnacentral:misc_RNA from 1 species
GAUGAAGAACGUAGUGAAAUGCGAUACUUGGUGUGAAUUGCAGAAUCCCGUGAACCAUCGAGUCUUUGAACGCAAGUUGCGCCCGAAGCCAUUAGGCCGAGGGCACACCUGCCUGGGCGUCACACGUCGUUGCCCCCCCAUCUACUCCUUCGGGAUUGCGGGGGGCGGAUGAUGGCCUCCCGUGCGCCUCGUCGCGCGGUUGGCAUAAAUGCCAAGUCCUCGGCGACGCACGCCACGACAAUCGGUGGUUGCGAAACCUCGGUUGCCCGUCGUGUGCGGUCGUCGCGCAUCGAGGGCUCGAAAAAAUUGCCGGGCUCCGGCUCGGCUUUCAACGCGACCCCAGGUCAGGCGGGGUUACCCGCUGAAUUUAAGCAUAUCAAUAAGCGGAGGA